rfam:Vitrella brassicaformis CCMP3155 genome assembly, contig: scaffold380
AUCCAAGGUCUUAGAGGCUCAGGGUGGAGGCCUGGGCGCCCACAGGCGAAGAAGGACGUGCCAGCCGACGAAACGCUCCGUAGAGCCGGUUAGAGGCAGUGAGACGGAGGUAUCCGAAUGGGGAAACCCUUUAACUACCCCCUGUAGAGGGGGCUAGAGCGAACCUGGGGAACUGAACCAUCUUAGUACCCAGAGGAACAGAAAGUAACAACGAUCCCCUGAGUAGUGGCGAGCGAAACGGUGGGACCAAGGCGACAAAGACAAUGCGUUGCCUGCCAACAAACCUUCCAUAGAAGCGGGGGUGAUGAGAGUGGUCAGAGCUUGUGACUGCUCGAGUAGGAUGGAGCAUGGGAAAGCCCGUUUGAAUCAGCGAGGACCACCUUGCCAGGCUAAAUACUCGUGGGUGACCGAUAGUGCACCAGUACCGUGAGGGAAAGGUGAAAAGAACCCCGAGAGGGGAGUGAAAAGAACAUGAAACCCUGUGCCUACAGUGAGUAGAAGGGCCGUGAUGUGUGGCCUGACUGCGUGCCUGUUGAAGAAUGAGCCGGUGAGUCAUGGUGCCUGGCUAAGGUUAAGGCAUAAAAGUCGGAGCCGGAGUGUAAGCGAGCCUUGCUGGCGAUUUGGUCAGCCACCAUGAACCCGAACCCGGAUGAUCUAACCAUGCCCAGGGUGAAGCUUAAGUAAUAUUAGGCGGAGGCCCGAACCGGUUGAUGCGGCAAAAUCAUCGGACGAGGUGUGGUUAGGGGUGAAAUGCCAAACGAAUCCGGAGCUAGCUGGUUCUCCCCGAAAUGUGUUGAGGCACAGCCACCCAUGAAGAAGCUGGGGGUAAAGCACUGUUUCGGUGCGGGCCGGCCUAGCCGGUACCAAAUCGAGGCAAACUCUGAAUACCAGUCUUUUCAAGCAUGGGAUGAGUCAGGCGUUGGGGGAUAAGCUCCAGUGCCGAGAGGGCAACAGCCCAGACCACCAGCUAAGGCCCCUAAAUGAUCGCUCAGUGUAAAAGGUGGUGGGGACGCAAGGACAGCCAGAAGGUUGGCUUAGAAGCAGCCAUCCUUUAAAGAGUGCGUAAUAGCUCACUGGUCGAGCAUCCCUGUGCCGAAAAUGUAGGGGACUCAAGCGGUCUGCCGAAGCUGUGGGGAAGUUGGGCACUGACACAACUACCGGUAGGGGAGCGUUCUGUGUUAGGUAGAAGCUGAGGCGAAAGCCUUACAGUGGACAAGGCAGAAGUGAGAAUAUCGGCUUGAGUAGCGAAAACGCUGGUGAGAAUCCAGCGCCCCGUAAACCUAAGGUUUCCUACGCUACGGCUCAUCCACGUAGGGUUAGUCGGGGCCUAAGACGAGACCAAGGGUGUAGUCGAUGGGCAGAAAGUCAACAUUCUUUCACCACCUUGCUGUGACCGCAGGUGACCGGAGCAACUAGGACAGCCAGUCUGUGGUGUAGCUGGUAUGUUCGGUUGCUCCGCAAGAAAAGCCUGUGUGAGUCAAAACGUUUGGUGCCCGUACCGUAAACCGACACAGGUAGGUGGGUAGAGCAUACUAAGGGGCUCGAGAGAACUCCCUCUAAGGAACUCGGCAAAUUGGCCCCGUAACUUCGGGAGAAGGGGUGCCUAAAGGGUUGAAAUAACCAGGCCCGAGCGACUGUUUACCAAAAACACAGGUCUCCGCUAAGUUGAAAGACGACGUAUGGAGGCUGACGCCUGCCCAGUGCCGGAAGGUUAAGGAGGGGUGUGCGCCCUUGCGGGCACGGCUCUCUUCCGAAGCCCCGGUGAACGGCGGCCGUAACUAUAACGGUCCUAAGGUAGCGAAAUUCCUUGUCGGGUAAGUUCCGACCCGCACGAAAGGCGUAACGACUUGGGCGCUGUCUCGGAGGGAGACUCGGUGAAAUAAAAGUGUCUGUGAAGAUGCGGACAACCUGCACCUGGACAGAAAGACCCUAUGAAGCUUGACUGCAGCUUGAGAGUGGGCGCUGGUUCCAGCUGCGCAGGAUAGGUGGGAGAUGUGGAAGCCCCUUUUGCGGAAGGGGGGGAGUCGACCUUGAGAUACCACCCUUCUGGUAUUGGCGCCCUCACGAAGACACUGUUAGCCAGUCCUCGUACCCUCUCAGGUGGGUAGUUUGACUGGGGCGGUCGCCUCCUAAAAGGUAACGGAGGCGCACAAAGGUCUCCUCAGGCCGGUCAGAAACCGGUUAGGGCGUGCAAAGGCACAAGGGGGCUUGACUGCAAGACUAACGAGUCGAGCAGGGACGAAAGUCGGUCUUAGUGAUCCGACGGUACCGAGUGGUAGGGCCGUCGCUCAACGGAUAAAAGUUACUCUAGGGAUAACAGGCUGAUCUCCCCCUAGAGUUCCUAUCGACGGGGAGGUUUGGCACCUCGAUGUCGGCUCGUCGCAUCCUGGGGCGGUAGCACGUCCCAAGGGUUGGUCUGUUCGCCCAUGAAAGCGGCACGUGAGCUGGGUUCAGAACGUCGCGAGACAGUUCGGUCCGUAUCCGGUGUGGGCGUUAGAGCACUGAAGGGUCUCUUUCUAGUACGAGAGGAUCGAAAGAGCCGCACCUCUGGUGUGCCAGUUAUCCCGCCAGGGGUAGGCGCUGGGUAGCUAUGUGCGGAGGAAAUAACCGCUGAAAGCAUCUAAGUGGGAAGUUCCCCCUAAGAUGAGAGCUCUCACCGCAUGCAAGCGGGUAAGGUCACAGGUAGACGACCUGAUAGAUGGUCCUGAGGUGUAAGCGCAGCAAUGCGUUCAGCCGAAAGGAACUAACAGAUCGAGGACUUGGAUCG